rnacentral:rRNA from 1 species
UACGGAGGGAGCUAGCGUUGUUCGGAAUUACUGGGCGUAAAGCGCGCGUAGGCGGCUUUGUAAGUUAGAGGUGAAAGCCCGGGGCUCAACCCCGGAACUGCCUUUAAAACUGCAUCGCUUGAAUCCGGGAGAGGUGAGUGGAAUUCCGAGUGUAGAGGUGAAAUUCGUAGAUAUUCGGAAGAACACCAGUGGCGAAGGCGGCUCACUGGACCGGUAUUGACGCUGAGGUGCGAAAGCGUGGGGAGCAAACAGG